rnacentral:tRNA from 1 species
GGUUGUGGCUUAGUGGUAAAGCACUUGCUUAGCAUGGGGGAGGCACUGGGUUUGAUUCUCAGCACCA